rnacentral:rRNA from 1 species
UACGAAGGGGGCUAGCGUUGUUCGGAAUUACUGGGCGUAAAGGGCGCGUAGGCGGUGUGUCAAGUCAGGCGUGAAAGCCCCGGGCUCAACCUGGGAACCGCGCUUGAGACUGGCACGCUCGAGUUCGGGAGAGGAUGGUGGAAUUCCCAGUGUAGAGGUGAAAUUCGUAGAUAUUGGGAAGAACACCGAUGGCGAAGGCAGCCAUCUGGAACCGACACUGACGCUGAGGCGCGGAAAGCGUGGGGAGCAAACGGG